rnacentral:lncRNA from 1 species
UACUUUAGAGAAAAAACACGAAAAACCUACGUGAAAAAAUUCAAAUGGAUCCUGAAUAAGCAACGUCCACGUGGGCCAGCACCAAAGCUAAAACUGGAAGAUGUAAUUACUAUCGUAGGAAGCUUCCACGUCCCAACACAAGUUGAAGACCUCUUAAAGAAAGGGCCCAUCACUGUCCCACAAAGCGUACCCAAGAUAUGUGAUAUGGCACCACAUAUUGACCGCUUAUUAAUGAACUACAAUGAAGUGGAUAAGGAGAAAAGAAGAUGGGACCUUAUUAAAGCUAGCCAAACGGAAGCUAGGACACCCGCUAAAAACUUUUCUAAGUAUAAGGCAACUAUACCCUAUGCCAAAGACUGGAUGAGAACGAACUCCAUUACAUGCACAAAAGAUGAUAAGACCAAGAAAU